rnacentral:rRNA from 1 species
GAGUUUGAUCAUGGCUCAGGAUGAACGCUGGCGGCGUGCCUAAUACAUGCAAGUCGAGCGAGAAUUUCAUAAGUGGAGACUUCGGUCAAAGCGAGUGAAAGGAAAGCGGCGGACGGGUGAGUAAUGCGUGGGUAACCUGCCCCUUGGAGAGGGAUAGCAGUUGGAAACGGCUAUUAAUACCUCAUAAGCGCACAGUUUCGCAUGAAGCAGUGUGAAAAGAUUUAUCGCCAAAGGAUGGACCCAUGUCCGAUUAGUUAGUUGGUGAGGUAACGGCUCACCAAGACCGCGAUCGGUAGCCGACCUGAGAGGGUGAUCGGCCACAUUGGGACUGAGACACGGCCCAAACUCCUACGGGAGGCAGCAGUAGGGAAUAUUGCACAAUGGGGGAAACCCUGAUGCAGCAACGCCGCGUGAACGAUGAAGGAUUUCGAUCUGUAAAGUUC